UAUUUUUUGUUUUAAACUUUUUGAUUUCAUUUAUUCGUCAUAUUUGUCAGCUGAUAAUUUGUUUACAGGAACAUAUAAUUUCCAACUUAAAUAUUUCGUGUUGCACGUCUCAAAUAAUGUUUCAAAUCCAAAUAUUGGUGUCGUUUUUCUUCCGCAUCAAGCUGUUUUAAAUGUCGUGAAAGAAUUUGAAAGGUACGACAAGGAAAAUAAAUGCGAAUUUAAUAUAGAAAUGUUGACAACAAUUUCAAAUGAUGAUAGUUUUAAAGUCGGAUGUGAUAAAAUAAAAUUUUUACAGCUCUUGAUAUUAUUUGCGAAAACCCACAAUAAUUCUGUCAAUUAUUUAAACAUUUUACAAGUGUUGUUGAUGUAUAUACGUCUUGUUAAACACGACUACAAUGUGAUAACAGAAGAUCAUCUUCGAAAAUCAAUAAUAUUUUAAGAACUUAAAAUUAUUAUAUAUUAAUUAAUAUAUAAUUUUAAGUUUUAUAAAUUGGUUCAUAUUAAAACUAUUUAAAACAAAUGUU